CGCGUGAGGGAUGAAGGCCUUCGGGUUGUAAACCUCUUUUAGCAGGGAAGAAGCGAAAGUGACGGUACCUGCAGAAAAAGCACCGGCUAACUACGUGCCAGCAGCCGCGGUAAU
rnacentral:rRNA from 1 species